rnacentral:rRNA from 1 species
AUUUAAAUAAAUUUUAAAAUUUAAAGAAUAAAGAUUAUUAAAAAUAAAAUAAUAGAAUAGUUUAAUAAUUUUAGUAUAAUAUUAUGAAUAAAAAAUUAAUAAAUUUUGAACUGUAAAGGAUUAAAUAAAAUAAAAAAAAGAUAAUUUAAUUUAUUGUACCUUUUGUAUCAGGGAUUAUUAAAAUGUUAAUAAAAAUUUAUAGAUCUCGAAUUAGAAGGGGUUAAUUAAAUAUUAAAGUUAAUGUAUAAAAAUUAUUUUAAAUAUUUAAUUAGAGAUGAAAUGUUAGUCGGAUUUUAAGAUAUCUAGUUUUUUAAUAAAGAAAUUAAAUUUAUUAUUAAAAAUAAUUUAUUGAUUAAUAAAAAUUAGUAAAUUUUUUAAAAAAUAAAAUUUAUGGGAUUAAUUAUAAAUUUAAGUUAAAUAAAUAUUAUAUUUAAAUUAUAAAAUUUAGAGAUUAAAAUAUUUAUAAUUAAAAAGUUUUUAAUAAUUUAUUGAAUAAUUAAGUAAUAUAAUUUAAAAUAUUUAUUAAUUAUAUAUUAAAAUAAAAUUUAAAAUAAAAAAUAAUUUAAAAUAAUGAUAAUAUUAGUAUAAAUAAUAUGUUAAUUAAUUUAAAGAUUAUAAAUUAAUUAAAGGAAUUAGGCAAAUUUUUAAAGUUCACUUGUUUAACAAAAACAUGUUUUUUUGAUUAUAAUUUAAAAUUUACUCUGCCCAAUGAAUAAAAUUUAAUGGCCGCAGUAUAUUGACUGUGCAAAGGUAGCAUAAUAAAUAGUUUUUUAAUUGAAGACUGGAAUGAAGGAGGGGAUGAAAUUUUAACUGUCUCUUUUUAAAAAAUAAAAAUUUAUAUUAAGUGAAAAAUCUUAAAUUAAUUUAAGGGACGAGAAGACCCUAUAGAAUUUAAAAUUUAUUAUAAAAUAAAAUUAGUUAAUUUUAUAAUUUAUUUAUUAAUAAUUUUUUUAUUGGGAGGAUAUUAAAAUUUAAAAAACUUUUAAUUUAUAAAAACAUAAAUUUAUGAAAUAUUUAGUAUAAUUAUAUAAAAAAAAUAAAAUUACCUUAGGGAUAACAGCGUAAUAAAUUUUUAAAGUUCAAAUUAAAAAAUUUGUUUGCGACCUCGAUGUUGAAUUAAAAUAAAAUUUAAGUGUAGAAGCUUAAUAUUUAAGUCUGUUCGACUUUUAAAAUUUUACAUGAUUUG